rnacentral:tRNA from 1 species
AGCGGACGUGGCCAAUGGAUUAAGGCA